AUUGAACGCUGGCGGCAGGCCUAACACAUGCAAGUCGAGCGAGCGGCGGACGGGUGAGUAAAGUCUGGGAAACUGCCUGAUGGAGGGGGAUAACUACUGGAAACGGUAGCUAAUACCGCAUACCAUCAACGGUGCCCAGAUGGGAUUAGAUAGUAGGUGGGGUAACGGCUCACCUAGGCGACGAUCCCUAGCUGGUCUGCGAGGAUGACCAGCCACACUGGAACUGAGCCACGGUCCAGACCCCUACGGAAGGCAGCAGGGGGGAAUAGUGCACAAUGGGCGCAAGCCUGAUGCAGCCAUGCCGCGUGUGUGAAGAAGGCCUUCGGGUUGUAAAGCACUUUCAGCGGGGAGGCGUUACCCGCAGAAGAAGCACCGGCUAACUCCGUGCCAGCAGCCGCGGUAAUAC
rnacentral:rRNA from 1 species